CACUAGGCUCCUCAGUGGGACAGGCUGAGACAUGCCCCGCCCACCAAGGCAGAGUUCUGAAAGGCAGUGACCAGCAUAAGCAACGGUGUCACGUCUACAUGCUAAGAGCCAUGUGGAUGCAGAGAUGGGGUCUGAGGAGAGCUGAGACAGGGAGAGUCCUGAGUGAGGCUUACAGUCAAUCGGAGGACUGUCUUCACAAUCUGUGGAUCCAAGAUAGCUCCUGGGCCAGUGCGCCUGUGAUUCACCAAGAGCACAAAGCAGUGCAGCCAUAAACUCAUCACAGCACUGGGGAAAUGGGUCUUCCGCCAAGCCUGAGGACCUGAGUAUGCACAGGUGGAAAGAACUGACUCCCACCAGUUAGUCUCU